rnacentral:rRNA from 1 species
UACAGAGGGUGAAAGCGUUGUUCGGCAUUAUUGGGCGUAAAGCGCGUGUAGGCGGCUUUGCAAGUCGGGUGUGAAAGCCCUCAGCUCAACUGAGGAAGUGCGCCCGAAACUGCAGAGCUUGAGUACCGGAGAGGGUGGCGGAAUUCCCCAAGUAGAGGUGAAAUUCGUAGAUAUGGGGAGGAACACCGGUGGCGAAGGCGGCCACCUGGACGGUCACUGACGCUGAGACGCGAAAGCGUGGGGAGCAAACAGG